ACAUUGAAAAGGGUUUUACAUCCUAAUCCGGAGGUCCCAUAGUGCUCUACAUGACCCUAAAUUACUCUCUGCACUCCCAACUACCAAGAGUUGUUCGCCAUAGCUCAAGCUUCUGCUUCGAUUCCAUUUUCUAGAAGCUUCUCAGCUUACAAAAUCGGAUUUUAUUGCUCUACAUCUCUCCAUUAGAGAAAUGAAAACGAAGGACAAUGGAAAUGUUAUUUGCAGCCUACUGGGUCUACCCAAGAAAAAACUUCAGGACUUGUGCAGGAAACGCGGUUUAUCUCCUUAUAAGACAAAGCCCAAUCUUGUGAGUUCUUUGGUCACUUACAUCAAGGGAGCAGAUGAGCUCUUAUUUAAAGAGAUGAAGGCAAAGGACAGUGGAAAUUCCAUAAGCAGGCUACCUAAGAAAGAGCUUCAAGAUUUGUGCAGGAAACACGGUUUAUCUCCUUAUAAGACAAAGCCUAAUCUUGUAAAUUCUUUGAUCACUUACGUCAAGGGAGCAGAGAGUUUUUCCUUUAAAGAGAUGAAGACAAAGGACAGUGGAGAUUCCAUUUACAGCCUACCCAAGAAAAAGCUUCAAGAAUUGUGCAAGAAGUGCGGUUUGUCUCCUUAUAAGACAAAACCCAAUCUCGUGAAUUCUCUGAUCAAUUUCUUCAAGAUAGCAGAUAUAGAAACUUCUGAAGGCAAUGAGUACAACAUUCUAAAUUCUUCUGGCGUAAGGAGCGCAACUGGAGAGAUAUUGUUUUCAAGAUUCGUCGCUCAGUGUGGUGAGAAGGGUUUCAAUCAAGGACUUCACAGUCCACAAACAAGGUUUUCCAAGAAAGCAUUUACUUCUGACAUUAAGUCGGGGCGUGGACCUUCUUUUGAGUUUUCUGUCUCAUCAGAAGAUGGAAUCAACCUUUAUGUUGACUUGAAUUCAUGCCCAACAGACACUUUUAAAAGAUUGGAAAAGAAGGUGUGUGUAUGUCACAAUCUGCAGAAUCACAAAUUUCAAAGUUUCUGUCAGGAGAUUCAAUACCUAGGAAAUAACAGACAAAUGACAAGUUCAUUUCUCUGGAAAACAGAUUCAGACAGUAGAUUUAACAGUGGCCACGCACAAACUGUUUCUUCUGCAAGUUUAUGUGGUACUGUUGAUGUUGUAUGUCAUACAGAAAAUACAGAUGAUGCGUCUUUGGGAUUUUCGGCAACAACAAAAUCAUGUUCUGUAGAAACUUUUACACAUUCAGAAGGCAAAAAGGGAAGUCCAUCGUCAUUUAGAACAAUUUGUGGUGUACAGAACAUGAAUAUCACUGACGUAAAUACUUUUAUGGGAGAGGAAGAGAUAACAUGUGUGGGUCUGAAUACCUUUCAAGCUUCAAAAAAUUCAGUGGCUAUUAAUAAAACUGUCAAUGUUAAGGCUUAUAUCCCAGAAAACACUACAGAGGUCUUAGAUGCUAGGCUAUGUAAAUCUUUUCAUGCAUCUUUGGAGAAAGUAGGUAUCAAUUCCCUUGAAGAUGUGCCAGAGCUAAAACAUAAUAAAAAUGAAAAUCAGAAUACGAAGCUCUGUGAUGUAAGUUGUCUCAAUUCUGAAAGGCAGAGAAGUUGUGUCCCAGAGAAGCUUUUAGUGCUAUCUCAUAUCUCUUCGGAAACUGAUUUUACUGGGAUAGAGGCUUCAGAAAUCGGCAGUCAUCAUCAACAUUCAUCAUAUUCUUCUUCUGGAAAAGAUUGCCUUAGAAAUUUGGUUGAUGCAGCAGAGAGCCUCAGAAGUCUACCCCAUUCUUGUGAGGAUAACUGUAGCAUUUUCCUGGACGACAUGCCUUCAUCUGCUGCUGGCGGGGCAAGGCCCAGCCAUGCCAACAGAACAGAAACUUCAAAAGAGCUUUUGAAGAAGCAGAAGGAGCAACUAUCCCAUGGAGGGAAGAAGAGAAAGAGGCAUGACAGUGAAUCUGAUAAUGUUCAUCAUUGUAGUGAUGGGAGAAUUUUGAGAAGUGCAACGCGUCUACAAAGUCUUCCGAGAAGAUCUAUUCGACUUGUCUCUAAGCGACUGGCGGCAUGGAAUUCCUAAGUGUUAAGAGAUCUGCCUAUGUAAGAUUAAACUCUCAGUACUGGCUUACAACAUACAUGUUCUUGUGGUUCCUCUAUUCUGUAUUCAACAACAACAUACUCGGUGUAAUCCCACAAGUGGGGUCUGGGGAGGUAGGAUGUACGCAUACCUUACCCCUAUUCUGUAUUCAAGGGAAUAAUUUAUUUGAGGUCAGGCGAAGUUUUUUAACGUGAUCUUAUUUUCAUUCAGCUAGAAUAACAUUUUUUACUAACUUUUCUCUGUUAUGCCUCAUUGUUUAAAACUUUGCACCA